UACAGAGGUCUCAACCGUUGUUCGGAUUCAUUGGGCGUAAAGGGGUGCGUAGGCGGUCGUGCAAGUCGGAUGUGAAAUCUCAGGGCUCAACCCUGAAACUGCAUUCGAUACUGCGCGGCUAGAGUGCUGGAGGGGAGACUGGAAUUUACGGUGUAGCAGUGAAAUGCGUAGAUAUCGUAAGGAAGACCAGUGGCGAAGGCGAGUCUCUGGGACAGCAACUGACGCUGAGGCACGAAGGCCAGGGGAGCAAACGGGG
rnacentral:rRNA from 1 species